UCCGGUUUGGCACCGGCAGUCUCUCUAGAGUCCCCGCCAUGACGCGCUGGCAACUAGAGACGAGGGUUGCGCUCGUUGCGGGACUUAACCCAACAUCUCACGACACGAGCUGACGACAGCCAUGCAGCACCUGUGCACGGGCUCCGAAGAGGGCCCCCCCUUUCAGGGGGGUUUCCCGUACAUGUCAAGCCCAGGUAAGGUUCUUCGCGUUGCGUCGAAUUAAACCACAUGCUCCACCGCUUGUGCGGGCCCCCGUCAAUUCCUUUGAGUUUCAGCCUUGCGGCCGUACUCCCCAGGCGGGAUACUUAACGCGUUAACUUCGGCACAGAGGGAUUCGACUCCCCCUACACCCAGUAUCCAUCGUUUACGGCGUGGACUAC
rnacentral:misc_RNA from 1 species